CAAACGGCCGCAGAAACCUAACUGUGCUAAGGUAGCGUAACUUCUCGCCUUACAAUUGAAGGCCAGCGAACGGUUAAACGAGAGUUAACCUGUCUCCAUUAACACUCUAAAAUUUAAUAUUUAAGUGAAAAAGCUUAAAUAAAAAUGAAAGACGAGAAGACCCCAUAGAGUUUAAUUUAACAAUGAAAACACUAAUUUCACACAAAUUUAAUUGGGGCAAUUAAGGAGUAAUAUAACCCUCCUUCCAAAUCUUAAGCUUCAUGCACUUGAACUAAUAAUUUAAUAUACAAAAAAAUUACCUUGGGGAUAACAGCACAAUAUUACUGAAAAGUUCCCAUCAAUAGUAAUGAUUAUGACCUCGAUGUUGGAUUAAGACCUCAUAGUGGUGCAGACGCCACUACAGCAAGGCCUGUUCGGCCUUUAAACUCCUAC
rnacentral:rRNA from 1 species